AUGCACGCUGGCGGCGUGCUUAACACAUGCAAGUCGAACGGGAAACCUUUUAUUGAAGCUUCGGCAGAUUUAGCUGGUUUCUAGUGGCGGACGGGUGAGUAACGCGUGGGUAACCUGCCUUAUACAGGGGGAUAACAGUCAGAAAUGGCUGCUAAUACCGCAUAAGCGCACAGAGCUGCAUGGCUCAGUGUGAAAAACUCCGGUGGUAUAAGAUGGACCCGCGUUGGAUUAGCUGGUUGGUGGGGUAACGGCCCACCAAGGCGACGAUCCAUAGCCGGCCUGAGAGGGUGAACGGCCACAUUGGGACUGAGACACGGCCCAGACUCCUACGGGAGGCAGCAGUGGGGAAUAUUGCACAAUGGGGGAAACCCUGAUGCAGCGACGCCGCGUGAAGGAAGAAGUAUCUCGGUAUGUAAACUUCUAUCAGCAGGGAAGAUAAUGACGGUACCUGACUAAGAAGCCCCGGCUAACUACGUG
rnacentral:rRNA from 1 species